rnacentral:rRNA from 1 species
AGGACGAACGCUGGCGGCGUGCCUAACACAUGCAAGUCGAGCGGAGAUGAUGUGAGGAAGUUUUCGGAUGGAAUCACAUUAUUUAGCGGCGGACGGGUGAGUAACGCGUGAGCGACCAACCUUGCACAGGGGGAUAACGGACCGAAAGGUUCACUAAUACCGCAUGAGACCACGGUGUUGCGUGACACAGGGGGUCAAAAGGAGCAAUCCGGUGCAAGACGGGCUCGCGUCCGAUUAGGUAGUUGGUGGGGUAAUGGCCCACCAAGCCUAUGAUCGGUAGCCGACCUGAGAGGGUGAUCGGCCACAUUGGAACUGAGAUACGGUCCAAACUCCUACGGGAGGCAGCAGUGGGGAAUAUUGGGCAAUGGGGGGAAACCCUGACCCAGCAACGCCGCGUGAAGGAAGAAGGUUUUCGGAUUGUAAACUUCUGUCCUUGGUGAAGAGAAGAAGACGGUAGCCAAGGAGGAAGCCCCGGCUAACUACGUGCCAGCAGCAGC